rnacentral:tRNA from 1 species
CGCCAGAGGAGGCAGCGGCGCUGGAUGUCGCGGUGCUUGCCGCGUACCGCAGCAAGGGCAUCACCACCGAUCCCCGUUCGUGGCGGCGUCCGGCGCC